rnacentral:tRNA from 1 species
AAAAUUUUAAUUUAAAUUAAAAUAUUUUAUUUACAUUAAAAAAAUUAUUGACUAAUAAAAUUUUA